UUCUCUGAUGUUAGCGGCGGACGGGUGAGUAACACGUGGAUAACCUACCUAUAAGACUGGGAUAACUUCGGGAAACCGGAGCUAAUACCGGAUAAUAUUUUGAACCGCAUGGUUCAAAAGUGAAAGACGGUCUUGCUGUCACUUAUAGAUGGAUCCGCGCUGCAUUAGCUAGUUGGUAAGGUAACGGCUUACCAAGGCAACGAUACGUAGCCGACCUGAGAGGGUGAUCGGCCACACUGGAACUGAGACACGGUCCAGACUCCUACGGGAGGCAGCAGUAGGGAAUCUUCCGCAAUGGGCGAAAGCCUGACGGAGCAACGCCGCGUGAGUGAUGAAGGUCUUCGGAUCGUAAAACUCUGUUAUUAGGGAAGAACAUAUGUGUAAGUAACUGUGCACAUCUUGACGGUACCUAAUCAGAAAGCCACGGCUAACUACGUGCCAGCAGCCGCGGUAAUACGUAGGUGGCAAGCGUUAUCCGGAAUUAUUGGGCGUAAAGCGCGCGUAGGCGGUUUUUUAAGUCUGAUGUGAAAGCCCACGGCUCAACCGUGGAGGGUCAUUGGAAACUGGAAAACUUGAGUGCAGAAGAGGAAAGUGGAAUUCCAUGUGUAGCGGUGAAAUGCGCAGAGAUAUGGAGGAACACCAGUGGCGAAGGCGACUUUCUGGUCUGUAACUGACGCUGAUGUGCGAAAGCGUGGGGAUCAAACAGGAUUAGAUACCCUGGUAGUCCACGCCGUAAACGAUGAGUGCUAAGUGUUAGGGGGUUUCCGCCCCUUAGUGCUGCAGCUAACGCAAAUGCACUCCGCCUGGGGAGUACGACCGCAAGGUUGAAACUCAAAGGAAUUGACGGGGACCCGCACAAGCGGUGGAGCAUGUGGUUUAAUUCGAAGCAACGCGAAGAACCUUACCAAAUCUUGACAUCCUUUGACAACUCUAGAGAUAGAGCCUUCCCCUUCGGGGGACAAAGUGACAGGUGGUGCAUGGUUGUCGUCAGCUCGUGUCGUGAGAUGUUGGGUUAAGUCCCGCAACGAGCGCAACCCUUAAGCUUAGUUGCCAUCAUUAAGUUGGGCACUCUAAGUUGACUGCCGGUGACAAACCGGAGGAAGGUGGGGAUGACGUCAAAUCAUCAUGCCCCUUAUGAUUUGGGCUACACACGUGCUACAAUGGACAAUACAAA
rnacentral:rRNA from 1 species